rnacentral:rRNA from 1 species
GAUGAACGCUGGCGGCGUGCUUAACACAUGCAAGUCGAACGGAAAGGCUCCUGCUUGCAGGGGUACUCGAGUGGCGAACGGGUGAGUAACACGUGGGUGAUCUGCCCUGCACUUCGGGAUAAGCCUGGGAAACUGGGUCUAAUACCGGAUAGGACGAUGGUUUGGAUGCCAUUGUGGAAAGUUUUUCGGUGUGGGAUGAGCUCGCGGCCUAUCAGCUUGUUGGUGGGGUAAUGGCCUACCAAGGCGUCGACGGGUAGCCGGCCUGAGAGGGUGUACGGCCACAGUGGGACUGAGAUACGGCCCAGACUCCGACGGGAGGCAGCAGUGGGGAAUAUUGCACAAUGGGCGCAAGCCUGAUGCAGCGACGCCGCGUGGGGGAUGACGGCCUUCGGGUUGGAAACUCCUUUCGCUAGGGACGAAGCGUUUUGUGACGGUACCUGGAGAAGAAGCACCGGCUAACUACGUG